rnacentral:rRNA from 1 species
CGACCGGCGUACGGGUGAGUAACGCGUAUCCAACCUGCCCUUUACUAUGGGACAGCCCGUCGAAAGGCGGAUUAAUACCGUAUGUUGUCAUGUUGAUGCAUAUUUUCAUGACCAAAGGCUUCGGCCGGUAAAGGAUGGGGAUGCGUCUGAUUAGCUUGCCGGCGGGGUAACGGCCCACCGGGGCGACGAUCAGUAGGGGUUCUGAGAGGAAGGUCCCCCACAUUGGAACUGAGACACGGUCCAAACUCCUACGGAAGGCAGCAG